GGUCACCUGGUUAAGUGUCCUUGUCAGUGCUCACUUUUAUUUUCUAGGAGCAUCUUUUAUCAAUUCUUCAAUUUUUUGAACCUCUGCUUUCUUUUCAACGGUGCUUUGUGGAUUUUCCAUUUUAAGUACAGCAAAUUGACAUGACAGAAAUACAAUGACACAGCGGGAAGUCAGACAGGAAGUGUGUGUGUGUGGAAGCUCCACCUCCAGCUCCUCCUAGUGGCUGAUAAAUGUUGGGGACAGUUGCUGCUGAUCAGACUCAGAGAGACGUGGUCUACCUGGAACAUGGAGCAUCUGAAGCUGCUGCUGCUGCUGCUGUGGAGCUCAGGAGUCCAUCUUGAAGACAGAAACCAGACAGCUGAGGCUGAUGAUGAGUUCAGGUUGGUGGGAGGAAGCUCUGGCUGUUCAGGUGGAGUGGAGCUGAAACACCUCGGAGAAUGGAGGCUGGUGGGCGACGAUUUCUGGAACCUGAAGUUAUCAACUGCAGUCUGUGAACGUCUGGACUGUGGCUCUGUUGUUUCCAUGAAAAGAACAUCUGAGUCAUCAAGCAGAUCUGUGUGGAGUGUCAAACCUGAAUGUUCCAAGUCUCUAUCAGAUUUAAAGAACUGCUUCAGGUCAUUUGAUGCUUCCUCUUUCAUUCAUCUCUCGUGCUCAGACUCGGUGCGGCUGCUGAAUGGAUCCAGUCGUUGUUCAGGCAGACUGCAGGUGAAGACU